GACGAACGCUGGCGGCGUGCUUAACACAUGCAAGUCGAGCGGUAAGGCCCUUUCGGGGGUACACGAGCGGCGAACGGGUGAGUAACACGUGGGUGACCUGCCCUCAGCUCUGGGAUAAGCCGUGGGAAACCGGGUCUAAUACCGGAUAUGACUCCAUGACGCAUGUUGUGGGGUGAAAGCCUUGUGCGGCUGAGGAUGGGCCCG
rnacentral:rRNA from 1 species